GUGUGCUUAAUUCUAGAUCUCCAACAGAUUCGCAACUUCCUGAGAUCAUAAUUCAACACAUGCGUGUCAAAAAGAGGCUCUUAAGGCAAGACACUACAGGCGUUUUAAUGCACUGCUCAGUUUUGAGCUCUAUUUUGCUUCUUCUUUCAGACUAGUGGAUUAAAAAACAUCCAAAAUACACAUUUAAGUGUUUAUUUUAUUGCAUUUUAACUAAUUCUGACAUUGAAUUAUGCAUAUAAAUUAAAUAAUUAUGCAUAUUUUUAAAUCUAUAUAUUUAAUACUUGUAAUUCUUAAUGUUAUCAAUCAGCUGGUGAU